rnacentral:tRNA from 1 species
CCUGGUGACUAAGAUGGUAAAGAAUCUGCCUGCAAUGCAGGAGACCCAGGUUUGAUCCCUGGGUCAGGA